ensembl:snoRNA
CCGCAUCCACUAAUAGACCUCGGACAGUUUGCUGGGGUUUUUUUUGUUGUUUGUUUGUUUGUUUUGUUUGCUCUGGGGAUGCAAAGGAGGGAAAUCCCUGCACUUCCUGUCUGUCUUUUUGGCAGCCCGGAUUGAACUGGGGACUACAUCU